UACAGAGGGGGCAAGCGUUGUUCGGAAUUACUGGGCGUAAAGGGCGCGUAGGCGGCCCGCUAAGUCGAACGUGAAAUCCCCGAGCUCAACUCGGGAACUGCGUCCGAUACUGGCGGGCUUGAAUCCGGGAGAGGGAUGCGGAAUUCCAGGUGUAGCGGUGAAAUGCGUAGAUAUCUGGGGGAACACCGGUGGCGAAGGCGGCAUCCUGGACCGGCAUUGACGCUGAGGCGCGAAAGCUAGGGGAGCAAACGGG
rnacentral:rRNA from 1 species